AAGGACUCCCUGUUCUGCCGCCCUGCUGUCAGUCUUACUGGCAAAAAUGUGCCAUGCAGUGAGCUGGGUUGGAGUACCCGUGUGGUUACUAUCUAUCGUUCCACUGGAGCAAUUUUGGCUUGGAUUUGUUGUUAUUUGAAUGUCUGUCAAAUGCUUUGUUAUGGCAGAAGAAAUGAUGACCUGGAGUCGGAGAGAAAAGACUUGAACCACUUGGAUAGGAGCAGGGCCAGAGAAAUUGCAGUGUUUGGAGUGUUUGGCCAUUUAACCAAGGAUCGACAGAGUAUUAAGAAGGCUUACUCUGAGUUUGUUCUGACCUACCUAGAGGAACUAAAUGAAAGAGGAGAUGACCCAGACAAAAAACCGCAUUCACCAUUGGGCCUAGUCUUCAGCUCAUCAGGAGAUAGAAUCGGCAGCUCAGCUGAAGAGGUCAUGGUAUUAAGCCAGAGGCAGGUUCUGCAAAAAAAUAUCAGCAAUCCCAAUCAGAAACAACUUUCAGGACCUUUGGACGCCCAUUUAAUGCCUGCAGAUCCCCUAGGGGAGACUACACAGCUGACAGUGGCACUGGUGAGGAAACUAGAAGAGAAACAUCCUAAGGCCUCUGCUCAAAGAAAGCAUUUGAAGAUAUUUAUUUACAUUUAUAUACCAAUUUGAGUGGCUUACCUUUAUUUAAAUGGAAUAAGAACUGAGGGGGACAGAGGAGAAGGACUGUUGCAGCCGACAAAGCAUGGUGACCCAGCUUGUCACCCAGUGACCUGUGAGAAGGAAAUAAUGAACUUAGUACUUCAUGUGAGCGCUGCUGCACACUGGGGUAGUACUCUUAAAGCAGACAUGUAUCAACUAAAUUAAGCUGUGUGUCAACAUGAUACAAUUUGGUUCUAUUUUCUCCUCUCUCCUCAAUUAAAAUUUAUGCCUGCAAAAAUGUAUUUUCUGUUCUAAUUUCAGAUAUGCUGUGUUUAUCAAAAAUCUUGUCUGUCUUGUAUUUGAGUCAAUGGCAAUGCUGGCAGGACUUUGUAUCGUAGAUGUGAUCUUAAAGAUCACAGAGAUGACUGUUCUUAAUAUAGAGACCUCUAAGUAGUGCACACCUGUCUGUCAGUGACCAAAUACUGAGUCAUGGUAUUAUUCAUACUGUUUUUCUGAGCAAAAACUCUCACAUUAUAAAAUCAGUGGAUAAACUUUUGAUAUAGUUUUGUUUUUCAGAAUUCUUGAAAUUUUCCUGCACUAUGUAGAAUGAAACUGAGAAUAAAAUUGUAAGUUUCUUUUACUGGUAUGCAAAUAGUAUCUUAGAUUUUCAAAGAGUUUCUUUAGGGCUUUCAAAAUUCUUCAUUUGUUGACCCACAUCAUUACAGCUGUUUAUAAAGUAGAAAGGUUAAAUUGUGCUUUCAGAUGCAUUUUUGACUGUUAGAAUGUGAAAUUAUAUUUAGAAGUCACUGUGGGAUAUUUCUAGUAAUACAAAGGUCCGAAAGCCUGAUACU
rnacentral:lncRNA from 7 species